rnacentral:lncRNA from 1 species
CUUGUUUAUAUUAUUUCAGAAUUUGCUAUUUUAGACACUUGGUAUAAGCUGUCAUACUACACGUGGCAUGUGGUAUCCCACUAAUUAGCUAUUUUAAACAUGUGACAAGUGGUAUGAGACUGUA